rnacentral:rRNA from 1 species
GAUGAACGCUGGCGGCGUGCCUAAUACAUGCAAGUCGAGCGAACGGACGAGAAGCUUGCUUCUCUGAUGUUAGCGGCGGACGGGUGAGUAACACGUGGAUAACCUACCUAUAAGACUGGGAUAACUUCGGGAAACCGGAGCUAAUGCCGGAUGAUAUUUUGAACCGCAUGGUUCAAAAGUGAAAGACGGUCUUGCUGUCACUUAUAGAUGGAUCCGCGCUGCAUUAGCUAGUUGGUAAGGUAACGGCUUACCAAGGCAACGAUGCAUAGCCGACCUGAGAGGGUGAUCGGCCACACUGGAACUGAGACACGGUCCAGACUCCUACGGGAGGCAGCAGUAGGGAAUCUUCCGCAAAGGGCGAAAGCCUGACGGAGCAACGCCGCGUGAGUGAUGAAGGUCUUCGGAUCGUAAAACUCUGUUAUUAGGGAAGAACAUAUGUGUAAGUAACUGUGCACAUCUUGACGGUACCUAAUCAGAAAGCCACGGCUAACUACGUG